UCAUGUAGCUGUCCUUUGAAGAAUGAGGAGGAUCCUGAGAUUUCAUGCAUUAGUUGAUGACUCACAACAAUUCCAUGAUAAUGUAGGGUGUUAUCAUGAUUGAAUAGUGUGUGAGUGAAAAUCAUUAGUAGCCCAUUGAUAUUAAUGAUCAUGUGAAAUUUUAGCAGUGGCACUCAUAAUUCACACUGCAUUCUGGGAUACUUGGCUGUCCCAAAGGACCAGACGUUGGAUCCUCCAAAGUUGGAAAAAGAAAGCCGCAUUUCUCUGCCACAUUUGAAGGAGCCUUCAAAAUGGGACAGCCUUGUUGCGCCAAAGUGAUGCAUUCGGUCUUCAAAUGCAGCCUUUGAAGGAUGCGACUCCUGAACUGGGACACAGCUAUGUGAUCUCACCAAUAAAGUCAGUGUGUUAUCUCAUGCCAGAUGGAAUAAUCCCAUUGCAAUGACAAGGAAUGAUUUAAACACAGGACUGAUAGAGGAGUGUCGACGAAGGCCGGACACAGGACGUUGAUACGAACACCAUAGUCACCCUGAGAGGACGCGUCCUGCAAGAACAAG